rnacentral:rRNA from 1 species
UACGAAGGGGGCUAGCGUUGCUCGGAAUCACUGGGCGUAAAGCGCACGUAGGCGGGUCGUUAAGUCGGGGGUGAAAUCCUGGAGCUCAACUCCAGAACUGCCUUCGAUACUGGCGACCUUGAGUCCGGGAGAGGUGAGUGGAACUCCGAGUGUAGAGGUGAAAUUCGUAGAUAUUCGGAAGAACACCAGUGGCGAAGGCGGCUCACUGGCCCGGUACUGACGCUGAGGUGCGAGAGCCAGGGGAGCAAACGGG